AACGAACGCUGGCGGCAUGCCUAACACAUGCAAGUCGAACGAGACCUUCGGGUCUAGUGGCGCACGGGUGCGUAACGCGUGGGAACCUGCCCUUAGGUUCGGAAUAACUCCCCGAAAGGGGUGCUAAUACCGGAUAAUGUCUUCGGACCAAAGAUUUAUCGCCUUUGGAUGGGCCCGCGUUGGAUUAGCUAGUUGGUAGGGUAAAAGCCUACCAAGGCGACGAUCCAUAGCUGGUCUGAGAGGAUGAUCAGCCACACUGGGACUGAGACACGGCCCAGACUCCUACGGGAGGCAGCAGUGGGGAAUAUUGGACAAGGGGCGAAAGCCUGAUACAGCAAUGCCGCGUGAGUGAUGAAGGCCUUAGGGUUGUAAAGCUCUUUUACCCGGGAUGAUAAUGACAGUACCGGGAGAAUAAGCGCCGGCUAACUACGUG
rnacentral:rRNA from 1 species